GGAUUGUGGCUUAGUGGUAGAGCACUUGCCUAGCAUGUGUUAGGCACUGGGUUUGAUUCUCAGCACCA
rnacentral:tRNA from 1 species